rnacentral:rRNA from 1 species
AAGGCCCCGNAAUUCUUGCCGAGCGGUAGAGAUUCUUNGGAAUCUUGAGAGCGGCGUACGGGUGCGGAACACGCGUGCAACCUGCCUUUAUCAGGGAGAUAGCCUUUCGAAAGGAAGAUUAAUACCCCAUAAUAUAUUAAGUGGCAUCACUUGAUAUUGAAAACUACGGUGGAUAGAGAUGGGCACGCGCAAGAUUAGAUAGUUGGUAGGGUAACGGCCUACCAAGUCUACGAUCUUUAGGGGGCCUGAGAGGGUGAUCCCCCACACUGGUACUGAGACACGGACCAGACUCCUACGGGAGGCAGCAGUGAGGAAUAUUGGACAAUGGGUGGAAGCCUGAUCCAGCCAUCCCGCGUGAAGGACGACGGCCCUAUGGGUUGUAAACUUCUUUUGUAUAGGGAUAAACCUAGAUACGUGUAUCUAGCUGAAGGUACUAUACGAAUAAGCACCGGCUAACUCCGUGCCACCANCCGCGGUAAUACNGAGGGUGCAAGCGUUAUCCGGAUUUAUUGGGUUUAAAGGGUCCGUAGGCGGAUCUGUAAGUCAGUGGUGAAAUCUUACAGCUUAACUGUGAAACUGCCAUUGAUACUGCANGUCUUGAGUGUUGUUGAANUACCUGGAAUAAGUAGUGUACCGGUGAAAUGCAUAGAUAUUACUUAGAACACCAAUUGCCAAAGCAGGUUAC